rnacentral:rRNA from 1 species
CAUUAACGAAUUGUAAUGGGGGCUGAUGCUGGCUGUCACCUUUUGACGGUAGGUGCUCGCCUCCAACAAUCUUUCAUCCAAACACCUGUGCACCUUCAUUGAGGGGUCUCCGAGCUAGCUGCCAUUUUCUGGUAGUUUUCUUGGGUUCCCUUCCUCCUCACACAUAUACACUGCUUUACAAUAUUGAACGUGCUCGUGCCAGUAAGGCCGUAAUAUUAAUACAACUUUUAACAACGGAUCUCUUGGCUCUCGCAUCGAUGAAGAACGCAGCGAAAUGCGAUAAGUAAUGUGAAUUGCAGAAUUCAGUGAAUCAUCGAAUCUUUGAACGCACCUUGCGCUCCCUGGUAUUCCGGGGAGCACGCCUGUUCGAGUGUUGUGAAGUUCUCAAGCCAGAAUGCUUUUUUUGCUUUUCUGGCUUGGUAUUGGGCUCUGCCGCGUCCUUGACUUGGAGCGGCUGGCCUUAAAAGCAUUAGCUGGCUUUCAUGCGAUAUUGGUUCUACUCAGCGUGAUAAUUGAUCUGAUCGCUGAGGACAUCCUUCGGGGUGGCCAAAUUCGCGUUUGGGCUGCUUCCAAUUUGGCUCUACAGAUUUUAGGAUCUGUGUUCCACUUUCAAUUUUGACCUCGAAUCAGGUGGGACUACCCGCUGAACUUAAGCAUAUCAAUAAGCGGAGGAAAAGAAACUAACAAGGAUUCCCCUAGUAACGGCGAGUGAAGCGGGACAAGCUCAAAUUUAAAAUCUGGCAGUUUUGGAUUGCCCGAAUUGUAAUCUAGAGAA